rnacentral:rRNA from 1 species
UAGAGUUUGAUCAUGGCUCAGGAUGAACGCUAGCGACAGGCUUAACACAUGCAAGUCGAGGGGCAGCGGGGCAGGAAGCUUGCUUUCUGCCGCCGGCGACCGGCGCACGGGUGAGUAACACGUAUGCAACCUGGCCGUGACAGAUGGAUAACCGGGAGAAAUCCCGCCUAAUACAGCAUGACGCCGGGAAGGGACAUCCCUUUCCGGCCAAAGGGGGCGACUCCGGUCACGGAUGGGCAUGCGGCGCAUUAGGUAGUUGGUGGGGCAACGGCCCACCAAGCCGACGAUGCGUAGGGGUUCUGAGAGGAAGGUCCCCCACAUUGGAACUGAGACACGGUCCAAACUCCUACGGGAGGCAGCAGUGAGGAAUAUUGGUCAAUGGCCGGAAGGCUGAACCAGCCAAGUCGCGUGAGGGAAUAAGGCCCUACGGGUCGUAAACCUCUUUUGUCAGGGAGCAAGGCCGCCCACGUGUGGACGGAAGGAGAGUACCUGGAGAAAAAGCAUCGGCUAACUCCGUGCCAGCAGCCGCGGUAAUACGGAGGAUGCGAGCGUUAUCCGGAUUUAUUGGGUUUAAAGGGUGCGUAGGCGGCCUGCCAAGUCAGCGGUAAAAUUGCGGGGCUCAACCCCGUACAGCCGUUGAAACUGCCGGGCUCGAGUGGGCGAGAAGUAUGCGGAAUGCGUGGUGUAGCGGUGAAAUGCAUAGAUAUCACGCAGAACCCCGAU